UCAACUUUUUACCUGGCAGAAUAUCGUCGGCUUCGCCGUCAUUGCCAUUAUCUAUCUGGCCGGCGUACUGCUGACCUGGCGUCGCGCCCGACAAUUUGUCGCGGCUGAGAAAGCCACGGCGCUACAGAACACUAACUGGAGGACCGAACCGACUAAUGUUGAAAAAUUAGCGGAUGACCUGUGGCUGGGGGUGAAAGGCCAAUCAAACCGGGAGAUAGCUGGUUCUCCCCGAAAGCUAUUUAGGUAGCGCCUCG
rnacentral:rRNA from 1 species